ensembl:lncRNA
CACCCUUUAAUGAAAACUCAAGAUGUUCACAAUUUAACAUCGCAAAGGCCUUUAGAUUAGACUGACCAAAAAAAAUUAUAAAAUGUCAUAAAAUUUCUAGGAGUAGUUUGUUACGGCGUAAAACAUGUCACUUCCUGUUGCCAGCAGGUGGCGCUAUAGCGAUAUCUGAAUAUUGGCAUGUAGAUAUGUUCAGGUCAGGAGUCUUCUCAAACAUGUGAAGUUUGGGGCAGAUUGGACAUUGUAUGUCUGAGUUAUAGCAACUUCCUUUCUCAUGGCAAAACAUCGAAAUUUGUAAGGCCGCCACAGACACGCCCUUCAACGAAACCUCAAGAUCUUCGCAAUUUAACAUCGCAAAGGCCUUUAGAUUACACAGACAAAGUUUGGUGUUGAUCUGAAUAAAUCUCUAGGAGGAGUUCGUUAAAGUACAACCC